rnacentral:rRNA from 1 species
AAAUUGAUAAAACUUUCAACAACGGAUCUCUUGGCUCUGGCAUCGAUGAAGAACGCAGCGAAAUGCGAUAAGUAAUGUGAAUUGCAGAAUUUAGUGAAUCAUCGAAUCUUUGAACGCACAUUGCGCCCCUUGGUAUUCCGAGGGGCAUGCCUGUUCGAGCGUCA